GAUCCUGGCUCAGGGUGAACGCUGGCGGCGUGCUUAAGACAUGCAAGUCGAACGGGCUCUUCGGAGCCAGUGGCGCACGGGUGAGUAACGCGUAACUGACCUACCCAGAAGUCCAGAAUAACGGGUCGAAAGAUCCGCUAAUACUGGAUGUGCAGUGUCGCUGUGGCGACACUGUAAAGAUUGAUCGCUUGUGGAUGGGGUUGCGUUUCAUCAGCUAGUUGGUGGGGUAAAGGCCU
rnacentral:rRNA from 1 species